AAAUUGAAGAGUUUGAUCAUGGCUCAGAUUGAACGCUGGCGGCAGGCCUAACACAUGCAAGUCGAACGGUAACAGGAAGCAGCUUGCUGCUUUGCUGACGAGUGGCGGACGGGUGAGUAAUGUCUGGGAAACUGCCUGAUGGAGGGGGAUAACUACUGGAAACGGUGGCUAAUACCGCAUAACGUCGCAAGACCAAAGAGGGGGACCUUCGGGCCUCUUGCCAUCAGAUGUGCCCAGAUGGGAUUAGCUUGUUGGUGAGGUAACGGCUCACCAAGGCGACGAUCCCUAGCUGGUCUGAGAGGAUGACCAGCCACACUGGAACUGAGACACGGUCCAGACUCCUACGGGAGGCAGCAGUGGGGAAUAUUGCACAAUGGGCGCAAGCCUGAUGCAGCCAUGCCGCGUGUAUGAAGAAGGCCUUCGGGUUGUAAAGUACUUUCAGCGGGGAGGAAGGUGUUGUGGUUAAUAACCGCAGCAAUUGACGUUACCCGCAGAAGAAGCACCGGCUAACUCCGUGCCAGCAGCCGCGGUAAUACGGAGGGUGCAAGCGUUAAUCGGAAUUACUGGGCGUAAAGCGCACGCAGGCGGUCUGUCAAGUCGGAUGUGAAAUCCCCGGGCUCAACCUGGGAACUGCAUUCGAAACUGGCAGGCUUGAGUCUUGUAGAGGGGGGUAGAAUUCCAGGUGUAGCGGUGAAAUGCGUAGAGAUCUGGAGGAAUACCGGUGGCGAAGGCGGCCCCCUGGACAAAGACUGACGCUCAGGUGCGAAAGCGUGGGGAGCAAACAGGAUUAGAUACCCUGGUAGUCCACGCCGUAAACGAUGUCUACUUGGAGGUUGUGCCCUUGAGGCGUGGCUUCCGGAGCUAACGCGUUAAGUAGACCGCCUGGGGAGUACGGCCGCAAGGUUAAAACUCAAAUGAAUUGACGGGGGCCCGCACAAGCGGUGGAGCAUGUGGUUUAAUUCGAUGCAACGCGAAGAACCUUACCUGGUCUUGACAUCCACAGAAGAAUCCAGAGAUGGAUUUGUGCCUUCGGGAACUGUGAGACAGGUGCUGCAUGGCUGUCGUCAGCUCGUGUUGUGAAAUGUUGGGUUAAGUCCCGCAACGAGCGCAACCCUUAUCCUUUGUUGCCAGCGGUCCGGCCGGGAACUCAAAGGAGACUGCCAGUGAUAAACUGGAGGAAGGUGGGGAUGACGUCAAGUCAUCAUGGCCCUUACGACCAGGGCUACACACGUGCUACAAUGGCGCAUACAAAGAGAAGCGACCUCGCGAGAGCAAGCGGACCUCAUAAAGUGCGUCGUAGUCCGGAUUGGAGUCUGCAACUCGACUCCAUGAAGUCGGAAUCGCUAGUAAUCGUGGAUCAGAAUGCCACGGUGAAUACGUUCCCGGGCCUUGUACACACCGCCCGUCACACCAUGGGAGUGGGUUGCAAAAGAAGUAGGUAGCUUAACCUUCGGGAGGGCGCUUACCACUUUGUGAUUCAUGACUGGGGUGAAGUCGUAACAAGGUAACCGUAGGGGAACCUGCGGUUGGAUCACCUCCUUACCUUAAAGAAGC
rnacentral:rRNA from 1 species